UAUUGUAACGAUGACAACCCGAUUCUUUGAGAGAGCCAGAGACAUGACUUUUGCAUUACCGUAAUUGGUUUCUACUUAUGAAUUGUAAACUUGUGUAGGGAAUUUCAUCCACAGCUAUCGCGGGCUGCUCUCUGCAUCAGUGUUAGCACAUUUUAUAUUAAUGAAGAUUUUGCUAUGCAAAAUACGUACAUUUCUGGCGCAUAUAUUUUUAUCAAACGAACAUGACUAUCCUUUCCACUUUGAUGGUUCGCAAGUAUUUUGAUUUGUAUUAAAUGCACAUCUAACAAGCCAUUUCGCCCAAAAUCACCAACUGGCACAUGUACCCAACCAGUUGGUUCCUCGACUUGAACUGUUGUAACAAUUUCCAAAUCUUGAAACCCUGUCCCAGCUGAUAUUCGCAAAGUACUGGGAGUAUAAGAUUCAUCAAGGGUGUAUUGAAGGUACAUACUCACAUACUUAAUCGAUACUCGCUUUACAAAUUUAAUAUGGAUGGUAUGAGGUUGAGAGCCGUCAGACCUUAAAGACAAAGAAAAUUAUAGUUAGUAAAACAUUUUCUUCCCUGACUAUAUUUAUACAAAUACACUUACUGCCAAUAUGUAUCGAUAUUAUCAUCCCGCACCAAGCGUAUAGGAAAUCCGGAUUUUUCGCUCGAGCAGGUCCAUUGAGCCAAAUUUCCAAUAUCAACGAACCCUUCUGUUGAUUUUUGCGUCUCAGACUUUUGUUUUUUCAAUGCUUCUUGUCGAAUUUGCGCCAUAAGCUAAAUGUAAACAAUGCGGACUUGUGAGAUGUUGACAUAACGUCCUCCCAAGGCUUCCUUAUCUAUAUUUACAAAUGUGUACGCUAUACAACCAUUAAACGGUUCUCAAUAAUUAUAAUAAAGUGUUGUUAGAGAAUAAUGUCGAGUGCACAAGUUUCAAAAAUUCACUCCUCUGAUAUACUAAUAAAAAAGUCUAGCGCUGGUUAGCUGAAGAAUCAAGUACCUUUUAUGGAACGUAAAGAGCGACGUGUACUCGUUGUGAGCAUACAUUACUA